AUUCAACCUUUUGAUUGUAGGAUAGAGGCCUACCAUGGUCGUCACGGGUAACGGGGAUUAGGGGUUCGAUUCCGGAGAGGGAGCCUGAGAAACGGCUACCACAUCCAAGGAAGGCAGCAGGCGCGCAAAUUACCCAAUCCCGACACGGGGAGGUAGUGACAAUAAAUAACAAUACGGGGCCUUUCCGGUCUCGUAAUUGGAAUGAGUACAAUCUAAACCCCUUAACGAGGAACAAUUGGAGGGCAAGUCUGGUGCCAGCAGCCGCGGUAAUUCCAGCUCCAAUAGCGUAUAUUAAAGUUGUUGCAGUUAAAAAGCUCGUAGUUGAAUUUCGGGAUUGACACAUCGGUCGUGCCCUAAGGGGUAUGAACUGGUGUAGUCAAUUUCUCACCUUCUGGAGAACCGCGAUGCCCUUAAUUGGGUGUCACGGGGAAUCAGGACCUUUACUUUGAAAAAAUUAGAGUGCUCAAAGCGGGCUCUUACGCUUGAAUACAUUAGCAUGGAAUAAUAAAAUAGGACGGCAUGAUUCUAUUUUGUUGGUUUCUAGGAUCACGUAAUGAUUAAUAGGGAUAGUUGGGGGCAUUCGUAUUCAAUUGUCAGAGGUGAAAUUCUUGGAUUUAUUGAAGACGGACUACUGCGAAAGCAUUUGCCAAGGAUGUUUUCAUUAAUCAAGAACGAAAGUUGGGGGAUCGAAGACGAUCAGAUACCGUCGUAGUCUCAACCAUAAACUAUGCCGACUGGGAAUCGGGCGAUGUUAUUUUUCGUGACUCGCUCGGCGCCCCGAGGGAAACCAAAGUGU
rnacentral:rRNA from 1 species